rnacentral:rRNA from 1 species
AGUGAGUAGAGCGGCGCACGGGUGAGUAACGCGUGGAUAAUCUGCCCUGAAGAUCGGGAUAACAGUUGGAAACGACUGCUAAUACCGUAUAAUCUGCAUAUUUAACUUUAUGUGGGAAAGGUGGCCUCUAUUUAUAAGCUACCACUUUUGGAUGAGUCCGCGUCUCAUUAGCUUGUUGGUGGGGUAAUGGCCUACCAAGGCAACGAUGAGUAGCUGGUCUGAGAGGAUGAUCAGCCACACUGGGACUGAAACACGGCCCAGACUCCUACGGGAGGCAGCAGUGGGGAAUAUUGCGCAAUGGGGGAAACCCUGACGCAGCGACGCCGCGUGUAGGAAGAAGGCCUUCGGGUCGUAAACUACUGUCAAGAGGGAAGAAACUGUUAGGUUAUAAUACGGCCUUUCACUGACGGUACCUCUAGAGGAAGCACCGGCUAACUCCGUGCCAGCAGCCGCGGUAAUACGGAGGGUGCAAGCGUUAAUCGGAAUCACUGGGCGUAAAGCGUGCGUAGGCGGCGCAUCAAGUCAGACGUGAAAGCCCUCGGCUCAACCGAGGAAUUGCGUUUGAAACUGGUGUGCUUGAGUCUCGGAGAGGUUGGCGGAAUUCCAGGUGUAGGAGUGAAAUCCGUAGAUAUCUGGAGGAACACCGGUGGCGAAGGCGGCCAACUGGACGAGUACUGACGCUGAGGUACGAAAGCGUGGGUAGCAAACAGGAUUAGAUACCCUGGUAGUCCACGCUGUAAACGAUGGAUAUUAGGUGUCGGGGUUUUACUUCGGUGCCGCAGUUAACGCGUUAAAUAUCCCGCCUGGGGAGUACGGUCGCAAGGCUGAACUCAAAGGAAUUGACGGGGGCCCGCACAAGCGGUGGAGUAUGUGGUUUAAUUCGAUGCAACGCGAAGAACCUUACCUAGGCUUGACAUCCUGAGACCCUCUCGAAACGGA